rnacentral:lncRNA from 1 species
GGUGGCUCACACCUGUAAUCCCACCACUUUGGGAGGCCGAGGCGGGCGGAUCACCUGAAGUCGGGAGUUCCAGACCAGCCUGACCAAGGAGAAAUCCUGUCUCUACUAAAAAUACAAAAUUAGCUGGGCGUGGUGGCGCGUGACUGUAAUCCCAGCUACUCGGGAGGCUGAGGCAGGAGAAUCGCUUGAACCCCGGAGGCGGAGGUUGCAGUGAGCUGAAUUUCACCAUUGCACUCCAGCCUGGGCGACAGAGUGAGAAUCCGUCUCAAAAAAAAAAAACGUUUUUUUCACAAGGAAUUCUGAGGACUUGUUGGCUCAAUUGCUUGGACAUAAAGACACACAUACAUGAAGCUGGAGAGAUAGGAAGAAGCGCUCAACACAGAACACCCUAAGUAUCCCUACUCCCUUUCAAGGACUAAAUCCCUUCAGAGAUUUCCUUUGCUUCAGUCCUUCAGGAGCCUCCCGAAGAUGCUAGGAGUCGUUUAAGAAGGCUGGAAGAUGGCCGUUGGGAAGGAACUGUUGGUAGCUGGCAAUACUUCAUCCCAAGGAGGCGGUGGCAAUAGCUCCCUGGGCAGCAGACAUCAUGGAUUUUCCUCCCUCUGGGAACCAGAGGUCCCUCCGUUUCUGGUUUGAAUCCCUUAGAGACAAAGAACUUCAUUCUCUCCCAUACCCGCGUGGGACUGCUGGGGAGGAGAGGGGGUGGAGGGGUUAGACUUCUACCCCCAUGAAACACCCGCGGGCUCAAAGAGGAGCCUGGAUCCUGACUGGUCCAGGAGGCGUGCGGGGCCGCGGGGCCCCUCCGGCUUGGGCCAGGCGCGUUGCCAAGAUGCCCGGGGAAGGGGCCGCCCGGCGCAGGCCGGGGACGUGGAGCGCUCGGGGCGCUCCCACGUAGGCCACACAUUGGCCGCCUGUAUCCUCCUUCUUUCCUCUCAACUCCAUUCUCUCGCGCUUUUUUCCCGGGGAGCCUCCGCUUUCCCCUUCUUCCCGCGGCCGCCCUCGCCCUUCUUCCCCCUCCAGACCCUCCCCCGGCUCGCCCCUCCCUCGGCAGCCCACCUUCACCCCGCUCCUCCGCGCGCUCCUCGGUCCUCGCCCCUCAGCCCCGGCCUCCCCUCGCCGGCCCCCGGC